CAUUGACACGGCUCUGCCUGCCACACAUGUGCCUCUCUCCACUGCCACGGCUCUGCCCGCCACACAUGUGCCUCUAUCCACUGACAUGGCUCUGCCCACCACUUCUGGCAUUUCUAGGCCCUUAAAAAAAAUUGUCGGAAAAAACCAAAGCAACUAAAGCAAUGUCCCAAAUGUGAUUUGAUAUGCCACUAUAAAAAUUUAAAAAGACAUAUAGAACGUAAACACACCCCAAAAAUGAUGGACAUCACUUCCUCAUCUCAUCUUGACAGUGAGUGCAUAGACCCUCAGAAUGGAGUCUAUAUGGUCCACAAAUGUUUUCAUGGAGCUGCUACUCCACUCCAUGUGCAAAUAAAAAUAUGGGGGGAACCACAUCGUGUUUCAUGUGAAUUAAAUGAGUGCCAGACUAAUAUGGAGUUGGCUUGGAGAAGUGGACUGCUGUCAUACCAAUGUGUUCACCUCCGGUCAGUUUCAUACUGCAAAACAUUUUAACCUCACCUUCACUCACAGAAGAAAGUUUUUAAAAAAUGGUUAAAAGCAAGUGGUUUGGGCAGGACCAAAUAAAACAGUGUGUAAAUCGUCAAAAACUAGCCCAAGAAGAAAAUGCACCACUGUCAGUUGAAUCCAAGAUUGGAGUCCCACCAACAAAAAGGUUCAUAUCGGUCUACGAGCCUAAUAUAUCAUAUUAUAGUAGACUGGGCAGAGUCAUGGUAUCAUAUGACACCAAGAAGAAUUCAUGGCACUGUCCCUGUGCAAAAACCCAGAGAUCAUGUACCCAUAAAUACAUAGCAAAAUGGCAUCUCUGUCAAAUUCACCCUGAACUCUUCCGAAAAGUUCGGAGCACUGAAGGCGCUGAAGAAUUUCAGGCAGCAGCGAUGGAGGAAAGUGAUGAAAGUGAGAAUUACCCUCCAAAGGACAUUGCUAAAGUACAGAGCAUAGUAGAAUACAUCUUAAUGAAUAAAAAGCUACCAUCUACUAUUCCCAGUCAUUUGAGGCUUUCUUCAGACUAUAAGGAAUUUCCAAAACACCUAAUCCCUGAUGAGACAAUGUGCUACCACUGCUCAGACCGCACAUUGCUCAGUGAUCCUGUCUGCAUUACACGUAAAGAGAAAAUUCUUACAACUACAGGAAUUGUCCAAGAUAUUUCAACUUACUCCAAAUUCUGUCCUUUCUGUGGAAUGGUGUACCGUUACCAAGAGUGGGCUAAUGGUUUGCAUAACUUCAAUGACCAUGUCCUCCUUGAACUCUCUCUCUGCCUCACCAUAAGAAACCUGUUGCAGGUGCAUACAGCAGUCAGCAGAGUAGUGGAGUACUUAGAGAUAACUACAGGUGUACAGUUCCCCUCAGCAGUUACUCUUCUCCACGGCUAUCUGCAUUUUGAGGCCCUAACUGACCAUGAAUACAAGUAUUCAUGUGUCUCCUGUGGUGACCAUCCAUCUGUGUCUUUCAUGUCACCUGUAUCUUUCCUUUUUACUGCAGAGAGCCUCCACAAGAUUUUAAUGGAGAGGUGGAUUUAGAUAUGUUUGGAAGGCACUGACAGAAGAACGAAUUGCUCAAGGAUUUUUUUCAAGUCAAAAAAACAAUCCAUUUUGUGUUACACCUAGUUACAACUUUUGGGCACCCUGGAUCGGGAGUAAGACUCGCAUAGCGAAUGUUGUUCUCAACACUGAAUUUGAGA